GGCCGGGAACUCAAAGGAGACUGCCAGUGAUAAACUGGAGGAAGGUGGGGAUGACGUCAAGUCAUCAUGGCCCUUACGACCAGGGCUACACACGUGCUACAAUGGCAUAUACAAAGAGAAGCGACCUCGCGAGAGCAAGCGGACCUCAUAAAGUAUGUCGUAGUCCGGAUUGGAGUCUGCAACUCGACUCCAUGAAGUCGGAAUCGCUAGUAAUCGUAGAUCAGAAUGCUACGGUGAAUACGUUCCCGGGCCUUGUACACACCGCCCGUCACACCAUGGGAGUGGGUUGCAAAAGAAGUAGGUAGCUUAACCUUCGGGAGGGCGCUUACCACUUUGUGAUUCAUGACUGGGGUGAAGUCGUAACAAGGUAACCGUAGGGGAACCUGCGGUUGGAUCACCUCCUUA
rnacentral:rRNA from 7 species